rnacentral:rRNA from 1 species
GACGGAGGGUGCUAGCGUUGUUCGGAAUGACUGGGCGUAAAGGGCGCGUAGGCGGCCGCUUGCGUCGGAUGUGAAAGCCCGGGGCUCAACCCCGGAACGGCAUCCGAUACGGGGCGGCUCGAGACCGAGAGAGGUGAGUGGAAUACCCAGUGUAGAGGUGAAAUUCGUAGAUAUUGGGUGGAACACCGGUGGCGAAAGCGGCCCACUGGCUCGGUUCUGACGCUGAGGCGCGAAAGCGUGGGGAGCAAACAGG